rnacentral:rRNA from 1 species
GGGGAAUAUUGCACAAUGGGCGAAAGCCUGAUGUAGCGACGCCGCGUGAGGGAUGACGGCCUUCGGGUUGUAAACCUCUUUCAGUAGGGAAGAAGCGAAAGUGACGGUACCUGCGGAAGAAGCGCCGGCUAACUACGUGCCAGCAGCCGCGGUAAUACGUAGGGCGCAAGCGUUAUCCGGAAUUAUUGGGCGUAAAGAGCUCGUAGGCGGUUUGUCGCGUCUAUCGUGAAAGUCCGAGGCUCAACCUCGGAUCUGCGGUGGGUACGGGCAGACUAGAGUGAUGUAGGGGAGACUGGAAUUCCUGGUGUAGCGGUGAAAUGCGCAGAUAUCAGGAGGAACACCGAUGGCGGAGGCAGGUCUCUGGGCAUUAACUGACGCUGAGGAGCGAAAGCAUGGGGAGCGAAC